UACGUAGGUGACAAGCGUUAUCCGGAAUUACUGGGCGUAAAGCGCACGCAGGCGGCUGCGUAAGUCUGACGUGAAAUCUCCCGGCUUAACCGGGAGCGGUCGUUGGAAACUAUGCGGCUUGAGGCGAUGAGAGGGGUGUGGAAUUCCCGGUGUAGUGGUGGAAUGCGUAGAUAUCGGGAGGAACAUCAGUGGCGAAAGCGACUUCCUGGACCAAUACUGACGCUCAUGUGCGAAAGCGUGGGGAGCAAACAGG
rnacentral:rRNA from 1 species